rnacentral:rRNA from 1 species
UACGGAAGGUCCGGGCGUUAUCCGGAUUUAUUGGGUUUAAAGGGAGCGCAGGCGGGCUAUUAAGCGUGACGUGAAAUGUAGGUGCUCAACAUCUGAACUGCGUCGCGAACUGGUGGUCUUGAGUGGGUACGACGUCGGCGGAAUUCGUGGUGUAGCGGUGAAAUGCUUAGAUAUCACGAAGAACCCCGAUUGCGAAGGCAGCCGACGAGUCCUUUACUGACGCUAAAGCUCGAAAGUGCGGGUAU